rnacentral:rRNA from 1 species
GGUGUGACUGCGUACCUUUUGUAUAAUGGGUCAGCGACUUAUAUUCUGUAGCAAGGUUAACCGAAUAGGGGAGCCGGAGGGAAACCGAGUCUUAAUUGGGCGUUAAGUUGCAGGGUAUAGACCCGAAACCCGGUGAUCUAGCCAUGGGCAGGUUGAAGGUUGGGUAACACUAACUGGAGGACCGAACCGACUAAUGUUGAAAAAUUAGCGGAUGACCUGUGGCUGGGGGUGAAAGGCCAAUCAAACCGGGAGAUAGCUGGUUCUCCCCGAAAGCUAUUUAGGUAGCGCCUCGUGAAUUCAUCUCCGGGGGUAGAGCACUGUUUCGGCUAGGGGGCCAUCCCGGCUUACCAACCCGAUGCAAACUGCGAAUACCGGAGAAUGUUAUCACGGGAGACACACGGCGGGUGCUAACGUCCGUCGUGAAGAGGGAAACAACCCAGACCGCCAGCUAAGGUCCCAAAGUCAUGGUUAAGUGGGAAACGAUGUGGGAAGGCCCAGACAGCCAGGAUGUUGGCUUAGAAGCAGCCAUCAUUUAAAGAAAGCGUAAUAGCUCACUGGUCGAGUCGGCCUGCGCGGAAGAUGUAACGGGGCUAAACCAU